UACGGAGGGGACUAGCGUUGUUCGGAAUUACUGGGCGUAAAGCGCACGUAGGCGGAUUUGUAAGUCAGGGGUGAAAUCCCGGGGCUCAACCUCGGAACUGCCUUUGAUACUGCAAAUCUCGAGUCCGGAAGAGGUGAGUGGAAUUCCUAGUGUAGAGGUGAAAUUCGUAGAUAUUCGCAAGAACACCAGUGGCGAAGGCGGCUCACUGGCCCAUAACUGACGCUGAGGCACGAAAGCGUGGGGAGCAAACAGG
rnacentral:rRNA from 1 species